AUUUUGUGAAGCGGCGAAGGAGGUGGUGGCUGCGUUGGGCUCCGGGAAGCCGUUCGGGCUGGGGCUGUCGGCCGCGGGGCGGAGGCACUCGCGCGGGGGGUAAUUCGGGGUCUGGGUUCUGGUGCCGCGCAGCUUUCCCCGGUAAGACUCCCGCAGCCCCUGAACGGGUGGGGCUGUGCGGGGCUCGUGGUGCCCCUUGGUGGCCCGGGGCGGGGCCUUCGGAGGCCUUCGAGCCCGCGGCAACUAGCGCCCCACACAAAGGGUCGAGGCAGGGCUGCAGGGGGAGUGGGAUGCCACUUAGGCCUCUGAGAUCUGAGAGGAUGCAAGGAGGACGCAAGAGGAUGAGCCUGCGUACCGAAGUGGGGACGAGGCCAUAGCGAGGACUCCCCCGUGGUCUGAGAGGGGGCAGGCCAGAGCUGGCUGGCUCAGCGGCCUGCGAGCUAACGGGGACUGCAGUAAAAACACGCCUACAUCCCGAGUACGGAGGAUUUCUUGUCUCCCCCAGUGAAGCAGAGGUUAUAACUACAUCUCUGUGCCUGGAGUCUAAAAGUUGGUUUUAAUUGGUUGCCCACAGGAUUGACUUGGCCUCUACUUCUUGUUAAGGAAAUUCAUCUCUUGUUUUAUCAG
rnacentral:lncRNA from 1 species